AUGUCUUCAUUUGGAAGACGAAAUAUAUUGACAAAAUAAGUAAAAAAUGUGUCUUUAUUGAGCUAAUCCGACAACCUGAUUAAUUAAACUUAUUUUUGAAUACAGACGAAGUGCUAGAAGCUUGCUCCACCCUUGUCACGGGUUGGCCAGGUAUUGCAGUACCGCCUGGAUCGGCCCAAAAAAA